UGGGGAAUAUUGCGCAAUGGGCGAAAGCCUGACGCAGCGACGCCGCGUGGGGGAUGAAGCUUUUCGGAGUGUAAACCCCUUUCGACCCGGACGAAUGACCCGCAAGGGUUUGACGGUACGGGUAUAAGAAGCCCCGGCUAACUACGUGCCAGCAGCCGCGGUAAUACGUAGGGGGCCAGCGUUGCUCGGAAUUACUGGGCGUAAAGGGUUCGUAGGCGGUGCGGCAAGUUGGGAGUGAAAUCUCUGGGCUUAACCCAGAGGGUGCUUUCAAAACUGCCGUGCUCGAGUGCGAGAGAGGUCAGUGGAAUUGCAGGUGUAGCGGUGAAAUGCGUAGAUAUCUGCAGGAACACCCGUGGCGAAGGCGGCUGACUGGAUCGCAACUGACGCUGAGGAACGAAAGCUAGGGGAGCAAACAGGAUUAGAUACCCUGGUAGUCCUAGCCCUAAACCAUCAGGACUUGGGGUGGCCCGCGUAGGCGGGUCGUCUCGUAGCUAACGCGUUAAGUCCUGCGCCUGGGGAGUACGGUCGCAAGACUG
rnacentral:rRNA from 1 species